rnacentral:RNase_P_RNA from 1 species
UGAGUCCGCCGGACGACCGCGGAUGCCCUCGGGUAUUCGAGGAAAGUCCGGACUCCACAGGGAAGAGUGCUGGGUAACACCCAGGCGGGGCAACCCGACGGAAAGUGCCACAGAGAACAGACCGCCCAAGCUGCCCACAGGGCAGCCGGCAAGGGUGAAACGGUGGUGUAAGAGACCACCAGCAUCGCAGGAGACUGUGAUGGCUCGGCAAACCCCACUCGGAGCAAGGUCAAGCAGGAGCAGGGUUUCCCGCCCGGAUCGCUCCAGGUAGACCGCACGAGGUCACUGGCAACAGCGGCCCCAGAUAGAUGGUCGUCACGGGCAUGCCCGCACUCGGGUUCGCCCGUACAGAAUCCGGCUUACAGGCGGGCUCACACC